rnacentral:lncRNA from 1 species
AUGAUGUAACCGUUUUUUCGAUAGGUUAAACACUGAAAAUAUUUAUUAUUGGUGAUAUACAGUGGUUUCCAACUUUAUAAAAAAUUCAGUUAUCAUCAACCAACAUAUGUUUGAUUGCAAAAAGGCGCUCAGUAUGUUGUUUUUGUCCUCUAGACUCCGAGUUUAUUUCAUCAAAAUAAAAUCCAAUACCACACAGAACGAUUGCCUUGUGACUCCCAAUUUAAUGUACUGCAAGAUUGGUUAACUAAAUGUGGUAGCCUAUUCCCCUUGCUCUUGUCUUUGACUAUGUAAUGUUUCCGGAACAACUUUUAAAUAUUUUUUAGUUAUUGACGAAUAAGCCAAAUGAGGACCUUAGGUUUGCUUUAAGUCUGUUUGUAUGUUCGGUAUUUUCCGAAUUUGUUCAAAUCAUACUUUAUCCCAUUUAUAAUGUAAUCGAUAGAUAUCAUAUCAUAACACUUUCAAAGUCGAGUUAUGGUUUAGUGAUUGCUGUCGAAAUUUUGGUCCUAGCACAGCUAGAAAAUCUCUCAUUUCUGUAACUCCGUGGUUUAAAAAACUUUCUUAAUCUCAAUAUUAUAGAUAUUAUAAACUUGAAGCGGUAAGAAAACAACCAGAUAUAAUUUUAAGUCACUUGGUUCUUACUUUCUUAUAUGUCAUCGAUACUAUCAUUUUAUCAAAAUUAUGAAAAUAAGCGAUUUUUCGAGGAUUUACCUCUAGGAAUGCUCUAAGAAUGACAUUUGAAUUUGAAUCUCAGAAUUCAUAAUAACUCUUGAACUUUAAAGAUGCCGUUGUUCUUUGUCGAUUUCGAACGACCAAUCACAAAUUGCCGAUUGAAACAGGAAGUGGCAACAUUACUGAGAGAAACCGUGUUUGCCAUCUAUUUAAAAAUCGACAAAUUGGUGACGAAUAUCACUUUAUAUUGGAAUGUACUUUUUUCGAUCAAAAACGUACAGAGUAUUUAUCCUCCUAUGUUGUACAACGACAUAAUACAUUUAAAUUUUCGGACCUUUUGUCGAGUACACGAAAACCAGUACUGAAGAAACUUUGUUUAUUUAUAAAAAAUAUUAAUACUUGUGUUUGUCCUCCUGACUAGUGACUUCUGUAACCUCUCUCCUUGUUUUGUAUAUAUUGUAAAUAGUUAUUGUUGUUAUCUCUGUACUGAUGUAAUGCAUUGGCUUUAUGAGAAUAAAGAAGAAGAUAUAACUAACUGCAAUAUGGACACUGACUAUACAAUGCCGUAUGGCAAAUACAGUUAAAAUGUGUAAACAUGUAAGCUAUUCGAAAGAUAGAAACUGUUUAAGUCAGAUAUUACAAAGGGAAAAUGUCAUUUCAAAUAUAUGUAUAUAAUUUAAAUGUUUAUAUCAUAGUAUUUAUUUUUGUUGGCGUUGAAUAACUAUUUAGUAAUCAGCCUUCAAUUGGUCGCUGUUUUAUUUAAUCAAUUUGCUAUUUAUCAACCUUGUAUAUCAAAGAACUAAAUCAUAUAAAUGUUGGAUCGAAAUUAUGAUUGUAUUUUUUUUUUUCGAAAUGGAAUUAUCUUAGAACAAAUCAGCUAUCUAAUUGAAAAUAUACAAUUUUCAGAAUAUUGACUCUUUUAUUUUAAGAAAUUUGACUUCAAAGUUCUCAACUGUGGACUAUUAUGCUAACGAAAUUGAACACAAAUUACAACUGAUAUGAAGUAAAAAAAAAAAAAAAAGCUCAAUACACUAAAUGUUUGCCUAUUUAACUUAACCUAUCUAUUGACUAAGGACCUUAAUAAGUCAAACGACACACAGUUUUAUAUUAGAAAAAAGAUGGAUUAAAUGGUUGUAAAAUAUAAAAUAAGAGAGCGACCACUUGAUAUGUUCAGUUUCUAAAUAUGUUUAAAUGGUUUGUUUAUUUUUGACAGUAUAUCCAUGAUAUAUAUCAUAUAGUUUUUUAUUGAUUGAGAUUAUAACACAAUGUUGACUGCUGUACUCUUUUUUUUUAACAUUUUUACCUAUAUUGUUUGUUUGUUCUGUUUACACAUUGUUGUCAAAAUAAUGCGACUGUCAUACAAGGGAGUGGUUUAGCUAGCUUUAAAUCAGGUUUUAUCCACCAGUUUCUACACCAGGAAAUGCCUGUACCAAGGCAAGAAUAUGACAGUUGUUUUCCAUUCAUUGAUGUGUUUGAGCUUUUGUUUUUGCCAAUUGUUUUUGAGAUUUCCUUGGAGUUUGGUAUUUUUGUUGUUUUACUUUAUUCAGAUAUAUUAUUUUUAUUGAUAUUCAUAAUCUUAUCUUUUUUAGUAUCAGUAAACUUCUUCUUUAUUUUGGAUUUAAAUAUUAUUCAUUCGGUAUCAUCGUGGAAGUAUAUUUUUUUUUCAAGACAUAAAUUAAAAAUCAUAGACAGUGAUUGAAAGAUUACAAUUUAAAUUUAAUAUAAAAAAAAACAGAUUGGCGAUUCAUAAUCGGAAUUGGGUGCAGAACAAAAUUCUUCUUUGUAGUUGAAAAAUGAACUAGUGUUGUUUUCUUUUAAUCAUAAUAUGUAUACAUUAAAUAGAUAGAUGGAUUGGUUUAAACAGUAUAAUUAUGUUUCGUAUAUUUACUUUCAGAAAUAGCAAUGCUAUUAUAACAUGUAUAAUGCAUAUUUUUGUACGUUUUAUACUUUUUAAAUUAACAUCUAUUAUAUCAGUA